rnacentral:rRNA from 1 species
UACGGGGGGGGCAAGCGUUGUUCGGAAUUACUGGGCGUAAAGGGCUCGUAGGUGGCCAACUAAGUCAGACGUGAAAUCCCCAGGCUCAACUUGGGAACUGCGUCUGAUACUGGAUGGCUUGAAUUCGGGAGAGGGAUGCAGAAUUCCAGGUGUAGCGGUGAAAUGCGUAGAUAUCUGGAGGAACACCGGUGGCGAAGGCGGCGUUCUGGACUGCAACUGACACUGAGAAACGAAAGCCAGGGGAGCAAACGGG